UUCUAUACGGGGCUGAUCUGCUGGCAAAAGGUAUGAAUUGGAGAAUUGGUAAGGGGGACCAAAGUGAAGUUUUGGAAAAAACACAAAGGGGGAAAAGCCUAGAGGAAAAAACACAAAGGCAUCAGCCGGGGCUUAUCAGCCCCCAGCAAAUCAUCAUUCAAACAAGGUGGUGAUAAUUCUGAGCACAAAUAUCGCUAACAGAGCAAAAAUCACCAACAAAAAACCAAAAACCCUCCCAAUUAAAAAAAUCAUCAAAACCAUGGCUGGUUCUGGUUCUCCCUGUGGAGCCUGUUGAGAAGAAAAUGUGUGAGAGGCUGUAUUUUUGCGCCUUAUUUCUGCCAUGAACAGGGAGCUACCGAUUUUUCUGCCUUCCACAAGGUUUUUGGAAAACCUAACCCUACUUUCUUAACUCAGCCGCCACUCCCAUCUUUCCUUCAUCUCUCUUUUUUCACUUAUCCUUUUUUCUUCUUCUUCUUUCCUCUCUAACCCAUCCUUUCUUCUUUAUUCAAGCCUUCUUUCUCCAAAUCAGAUCAGAUCCACUCUACUGCCCAAAUCUGCCGACUCCACCUCCUUUCAUCUUUUUUUUUUGGUGGGUAUGGGUUCUCGGCGACUGGGAGAUGCUUGCUGCGACGGUGGUCACGAUUUUAAUGCUCCAAGUAUUACAAAACCGAGGCAUUAGAGGCCAAGCAAUCUUGAGUCCCUCGUCUCUCCCUCCCAUCCUCUGCAUCUCUCAGUCUCCGUCUCUUCCUCCCUCUCAGGUCGUAGACAACCCCUCAACCACUGAGUUGGCGAAUUCCUCCUUCACCACUUCUUCAUCUACUGCGUCUAUGUUAGGUUAAGGUAUGACAACUAGUUUCUCUGUUUUUUUUUAAUUUUUUUUUUUUGCGUUGUGAGUUUUGUAACAU